AUGCAACACAUGGCCACAUCUUACUUCAAGGAGGUUUAUACGAAAGAUCCAACUCUCACUCCGGAGAGUGUCUUGGAGGGUAUUGCAUCUAAGGUAACUCAAGGUAUGAACGAUACCCUAUGUGCUCCCUUCUCAGAGGACGAGGUUUCAAAUGCUCUCUUUCAAAUCGGCCCGCUUAAAGCACCGGGGACGGACGGCCUCCCGGCGAGGUUCUUUCAACGAAACUGGGCCGUGCUGAAAUCUGAAAUCAUAGCUGAUGUGCUGGAGUUCUUUAAGUCAGGAGAUAUGCCGAACGGGGUGAACGACACGGCUAUCGUUCUUAUCCCAAAAAUUCCUUUCCCAAAGGAACUCAAGGAUUUUAGACCGAUAAGCUUAUGUAACGUCAUCUACAAGAUUGUCUCAAAAUGCCUUGUGAACCGACUAAGGCCGUUGCUCGCGGAGCUCAUCUCAGAGAAUCAGAGUGCCUUCGUUCCAGGGAGGCUUAUCACUGACAAUUCGAUUAUUGCUUUUGAGUGCCUUCACCACAUACAGUCGCUGAAACAAAACAGACCGGCGACAUGUGCUUAUAAGCUGGACUUGUCGAAGGCAUAUGACCGUGUCGACUGA
rnacentral:rRNA from 1 species